AUCAGCGAAGUUAGUUUUUAAUUUUUAAUCUGUUCCCUGUGACAAUUCCUCAUUAAAUGCCAGUGUCUGUCACCUUCAGAAACAAUACUCCAAGUUGGUGAUGAGCGGUGGUGCACAGUACAGGCAAGGCAACCCACCGCUCGUUGUUGCUCUUUCUUGCUGCUCCACACAAGGCCGCAUGCCCAUCUGUUCUUCGGAGAUGGAAGACCGUGCUGCUGCUGCUGCUGCUGCUGCUGCUGCUGCUGCAUAAUCCACAGGAGAAGCACGUGCUGAGGGCAUCCCCCGGAUUCCUGUACAGUAGGCUAAGCCACUUAAAUCUUACUGCUGGCUUCCCCAGGCGGGAGUUCCACAGUCUCCUUUGAUUUAGUGGUUUGUAAACUCUACAUUGAAGUGCUUUUGGCCUGCCUGUUACUUUCUCUCUAUUCCCUAAAUGAUUUUAUGAGGAAGUAAUCAGGAAAACUGAGAUCAGAGGCAGCAAGCAUGCCUCCAUCCUCCCCCCUCGCAUCUCUUUUUCUUUACAGUUAUUAUUUUCACAUUUGAUGCACUUUCUUCCCUUUUGCCUUCUACAUUAUCAUAUUCAUUUAUUCAAAUGACUGAGCAUGGCCCCUUCUGUUUUGCCAAUCUAGCAUCUGAACUGAUCUCAAAUUUAUCCCUGUCCCAGAUUAUGUCUCUCCAUUCCCUUUUAGUAUCUAAACAUCUACUGCUCUUCGUGUUCUCAGAAGGGUCCGGGAAGGACAAAGAUGAGGGAAUGGAAUUGCCUUGGCCCUGGGGCCUGCUUCUGGAAUUUGUUAGCUAAAUGGGAAAGUCUCUUAGCCUUUCUGGCAUGAUGUCCUCUUCAGGAAGUAAAGGUCAAAUGUGUUGCAUUAUAGAAAGUACCUACAUGCCUACACAUAGUAGACACUCAACAAAUUGCGACAAUGAUGGCUAUCAUUUAUAUUGGAGUGCCUAUUUGCGCAGCAGUGACUUGUCUAGGAGUAUUUUAUUAAAGCCCAUUUGGCAUGUGUUUUUGUGGCAUCUCUGCUUAGCUUGGCCUCUUGAAGUUAAGAGCCCAGGUUUUCCAUAUAUUUUGAAAUUACCCACUGCAUUUAUCCUCUGCUGUGGCCUGUUUCCCUGCCUCUUAAAAAAUGCAUAUUGUCAUGAUCAUUAUGCCCAAACUCCUUCCAUAUGUAUAAAUAAAUCCCACACACUCUCAUUAUUUUGUGCUGCCUUGGCAGGCACAAAAGGUGCUCUGGUACUCAGGAGUAAGUGAUAUAGGCUGUUGCUAUUGUUUGCUUACUCUCUCUCUCUCUCUCUCUCUCUCUCUCUCUGUGUGUGUGUGUGUGUGUGUGUGUGUGUGUGUGUGUGUGUGAAUCUGGGAAUCAACCCAGGGCCUUGAAAGUGUUAUAUAAGUACUCUACCAAUAAGCUACACCCCUGGCCAUGGUUUUCAAAAAAAUCUAUUAACAUAGCUCUGUCUGUGUGUGUCUGUGACUGUAUGUGUAUGUAUGUGUGUGCGCACACGCACAUGUACACAUUCAUACACUUGUGGGCAAACACGUGCUAUGUGGAAACUGGAGACUGAUGUCAGAUGUCUUCUUUAGUAGCUCUCUACCUGAUUUUCUGAGACAAAAUCUCACUGAACCUUGUCUGGAUCUCUUUGAACCUUGACUGGACCACCGGGCACUUGUCUAUCAUCUGGAUGAGCCGGCCAGCUGCCUCCACAGUCUCCCUCCUCCCAGUGCUGGACUGCAGGCAUGUGCAGGUGACCCUAAGGUUCCACAGCCUUACUCUUCGCCCUGGAUCAAUGCUAGAGUUGGAAAAAUGAGCCAUCACAGCAUUUACACAACAGCCUCUCUCGUGCGUCUUCCUCAGCUCCACAGUAGGCAAGUCCCUGCACUGAUUCUGGUCCCUAGCAUUCUCAUUACUUGAGACUGUCAAUCAGCACUAAUGAAGUGCAACAUGAAGACCAGCUCAGAGACCUCUUUCUUCUUGGGCAUAUCAGUGACAGGAAGGAGCUGCUAUCCUCAACACAGAUCCUUCCCUGAAGGGAAACAGAUUUUGUUUCUUGGUUGGCUUUCUUCUGGCAUCCACCC
rnacentral:lncRNA from 1 species